UUUCAUACCUGCUUGGCCUAUACAGGGUCAUGGGAGUCCAUAGCCCAUCCCAGAAGCUACAGGUGCAAUGCAGGUAAUAGCCCAGGGUGGGGCACUAACCCAUCACAGGGCACACUCACACACCACUCACACACCACUCACAACUACAGAGAAUUUGGCAACUUGCUUGUUUUUGGACUGUGGGGGGAAACCAGAGACCCUGUAGGAAACCCCACAAUGACAUGGGUAGAACAUGCAAACUCCACAAACACGGAGCCAUGGCGGAGACUCGAACCCUGGUCCCAGAGGUGUGAGGCCACCAUACCACCUGCAAACAGUAAUAUAUACCAUACAUAUAAGUACAUUUAUCAAUAUAAAGAACUGAGACAUAUGUUGAUUAUUCUUGUCAUUUCCUGAAUGUUUUCCGUGCAGUGAAAUAUAUCGGCAUGCAUAUUACACCACAAUGCUUUUGGUCAACCAGACAUAGUCCCAGAUUUAAUGCUUGUGUUUAUUCCAGUGGCAUUUACAUGACAGCAUUGAUGCUGUAGACAUUUUCUUGACCUGAGGCCAAAGCGGCAGCACUGACAACGGCGUCUCUCUGAGUUGUCCUGCAAGAUUACAGAAGGGCAAGGUGUGUUAGAAAUGUAAAGAAUGCACCUGGACCAGGCCUUUGAAGACAAUGAGUGACGCGCUGCUCUGCCUCAUUUGUACUCCGUGUCUAACAUGGACUGCACACGUUACAUGGGUCGCUGCCUGAUCUUCCUCUUACUGGCGAUUGUGUUCGAUGUGGUCGGCCUCGUCAUCCUCCUCCUCGGCAUCUUUGCUCCACUCAGUUUCUGGGACUUCCUCGUAUUCACUGGACCCCUCAUCAUCUUCCUUAGCCUGGUCUUUUGGGCGUUUUGGUACCUGGGGAACAUCUACGUCGCUGACGAAGACUUGCUCCUGCCGCAGUAGGAACCGCAAUGUCGUUCGCUGUGCCGGGAGUCAGCGGCUUGCGCCGAGGAACUCGUGUCUGGAGAAGCUCGCUUCAGGAAUUCGAACGGGGGGAUUUGAAAUUGCCCAUCAAGAUUGGGGCAAAUGAGACAGAGCGAUGAUGGCGUCUGUCCAGCAAAGAGGGGGAUCAUUUGAAGAUGGUAUGGAGGACAGAGCAGGCAGUUUUGCUCCAGGGAUACUGGAGACGUCACAUCUUCAAGGACUCAUCGGGGAUACCCUGGGAGCGGACUGCAUUGCAGAACAUCCUGCACUUGAAGGUGUUUUUUUGGACUUAGGUGGUUUGUCUGUUGUGUAUAUGCAUCCAAUUUUGUUUGUCAGCAAAAGCUGAUAUAGUCGACUUUAAUUUUAUUUUCGCGCGUAGAAGGAAUAUUCUUGUUUGGUCUGAAUGUAAAACCAGCCUAACAGGCUGUGUCACUUCUACUGAAAGAAUGAGGGUCCAGAAAAGAAAGAAACUGUGUGACCACAUCUGAAGGCCUGUCUUUCAUCUCUGCUGGAAGGAAUGGAGCAAUGUUAACCUCAAAAAAGGGAAUUGCUGCUUCUGGAUGACAUCUAGCACCGAUAACAUCUUUAAACCUUAAAUAUAUAACAUCAUUUUAACAUUAUACAUAUAAAGUAUACACCAUAACUGGUGUUUAUCAAUCUUUAAGUUUAAAAUAUAUACAGAAUUAAUCACAAGUGAAAUCAUCAUCUAAUUUAUUCUGUUCUUGUGUUAGUAAGGUUUCUUUUUGUUUAAUCACUGACCAUGUUAUUCACCUAUAUGAAUAAAAAUGAACUUGCCAAUAUUA